rnacentral:rRNA from 1 species
ACGACUACAUAUCAGGCAUAUCAAUAAGCGGAGGAAAAGAAACUAACUAGGAUUCCCUCAGUAACGGCGAGUGAAGCGGGAAGAGCUCAAAUUUGAAAUCUUCAAGGUUUUACCUUGACGAAUUGUAGUUUAAAGAAGUGUUUUCUGUUGGUGUUUUGGUAAAAGUUCUUUGGAAUAGGACAUCAUAGAGGGUGAGAAUCCCGUAUUUGACCAUUACUUCCAGCGUUGUGAUACACUUUCAAAGAGUCGGAUUGUUUGGGAAUGCAGUCCAAAAUGGGUGGUAAAUUUCAUCUCAAGCUAAAUAUUGGCGAGAGACCGAUAGCGAACAAGUACCGUGAGGGAAAGAUGAAAAGAACUUUGAAAAGAGAGUUAAACAGUACGUGAAAUUGUCAAAAGGGAAGCGUUUGACACCAGUGUCGUUUUUCCGAAAAUCAAUUACGAAUGUUUUGUUUUUGAGGAGUUAUGACUUCAUCGGCUUGCUUCUUUCUUUACGAAACUUUCUUAAUGCACUUUUCGGUUAACAAGUCAACAUCAAUUUCUUUUGUUGUAAAAGGGUACGAGGAAGGUGGCUUUCUUUUCGGAGAAAGUGUUUAUAGCCUUGUGCCUCUGCAAUCGGAGAGAUUGAGGUCUGCAGCGUAGAUCCUUCGGGGUUAGAUACAUUGGUGCUAAGUUAUAGGCUUGUCAUAGACAACUUGUUGACUAUGUUUCAGUCAUUGUAGCUUACUCGCUGAUGCUAUUUUACCUACGCUUAGGAUGUUGAACGCGCACAGAGUCUC